UCCUCCUGCCGUCCCUCCGUCAAACAGCUGUCAUCUCAGCCCUCUAUCUGUGUUCAUCACUCACUUCUCUCCUCAUCUGAAGCCCUGAUAAAAAAAAACAACUCUGGGGGCUACGUCUUCCCUCCGCUCUCCACAGCCCAGAUAAUCCAGCAGAGUAUGGUUUCAGUCUUGGACAUUCACAUAUGGAUGUUUUGUGGCUUGUGAACUCAGAAGGAAAUGGAGAUUGUGGUUUGUAUUUUCCCUCGUCCACCUGUCUGCAGGGUCAGAGGUUUCAGAGCAGAAGGCUGGGCAAUGACUGAGCAAACAAGAGCCAGCAGCCACCUGUGGUAAUCCUGGACACAGUAGGGGUUGUUGUUAUCAUCGGUGAUGAAGGGCGCACCCUCAAGUACACAGGAGCAGGUGCUGCAGCGGAAACAGUGGGAGUGGAAACUCUGGCCCACUGCCUUGAGCACACGGUCUGUGAUCCUCUCGCCACAUCGGGAACACACUGCCAGAGAACCCUGAGGAAGAAGAGAGGGAACAAUAGAUAGAGACAUGAAACAAGACUGGAGAGCGAGACCGAGAAUGGAGGAAGACUCGCAGCAAAGAGCCGGGUCCGAACCAAACCUGUGGCUGCUGUCGGAGUACUCAAGCCUCCGGAUUCACCAAUCCCUCCUUUCAGAUGGUUCUGCAACUUGGCUUUAAUAUUCGGUCACAGCACUUGAGUUGAUGUGUAAACUUUUCCCCAUAAGAGUGAUACAUUAACCUCAAAUAUCAAAUGGUGCAAAUGCUGAAAUAACUCUAAGAUGUCUCUAAAUUCACGUGUCCCCAACUACACCCCUUCAAAAACAGCCACAGAAGAGGGAUUGCACCAUUUAGAUGUAAUUGAGUUAGCAUUUGGAAAACAACCUUUUCGAAAUGAGAUCAAGUCAGACAUUUAGAAGGUAGACGGGGAUUUUCUCUGUAAAAAAGGAAAAGAAAAAAGGAACCAACCAGGACAAGUCUGAAUGUUUCAUCCUCAUUCCUCGUUGUUGGGACACACAGGCUACACUUCAAGUUCUGACAGGACGAACACAACCCUCACAGCUCCUGAAUGCGUCUCAUGAGCGCAUGAACGAACGCCUAUGAUGAGAAACCCCUGUUUCUGCUUUUUGAGUCAGCUUCCUUCAAUGCUAGAUGGAUUGAUGUUGAGUAAUUUUAACCAUAUAUGUCCAGGUUGAUGCUAUGAUGCCCUUUACUGACACAGAGGUGUCAGUUGUUGCUUUGCGUCAUGAGACAUCUCAUAAUGAAUCACAGAUGUGUCAAAGAUAGAACAUAGUUUCAGCACAGAGCGACAUGAUUGAGCCCUUGUUAUAAUACUUUACUUACAUUAUGUAUUCUAUCAGAUAGAUGUACAGUUUGUAUGUUAGGGUUGUUAUGUUUUGUUAUGUAAUUAGAUAAGACCGUAUGUUUUACAAAAAUCCUAAUUAAAAUUGAUUAUUUUGUUUGACUAAAGACUUAAAGACCUAAUGCCUUUGUCAAUAUUAUUUAAGGUACAAUACAAAAACACUGACCUAGAGAAUCUUAGCUCCACUUCUCUGUCCUACUGAUAAUAAUUACAUCAUUGUCCCACUUUAAUAAUUCAGAAAGUCUCUGCAUUAAUAAGUAGGGUAGGGUGCUGAGGCUCAAGUGGAAAGGCAAACUGAAACAGAAGAUUGGUGUGCUUCAGUCUUGUGGAGAGUAGUUGGCUACUCAUUUAUACUUAAUGUUGAAUGAAGUGGAGUCUUAAUACAAAAACAGAUUGACUGUUAACAGUUGAGAUAAAGCUCUUGGCUUGACACGAGUGUCGUAUGUAUGAAUAUUAACACAGUACUCCCAGCAUCUGUAAUGGCUUUGUAGAAGAAGUGCUUGACAAAGGGGGACACAGACUUUGAUUUAGUCUUUUCAUAACAGUACUUCAGCUACCUCAUCUCUAAGAGACAAUAUGCAACAGUCCUCUCAAUUAUUAAAGAGUUAUAAUAACUAGUGGUCAGGUUCCAUCUGUUUCCUUGAUACAGACCUGAGGGAUUGAAAACGGUGAGAUCAGCUACACACUCAGCCCCAACAGGCCCUCUUCAAAUUUAUCUUGAAACCUGAUCCUUGAGAGGAGAGAGACCCUCGACUAAAAGGAACAUAUUUGGCACGACAACUCAAUGACAUCAUCUUUUUCGCUGUUUCAGUUACACUCUAAUCAGCCCCCCCUCCCCCUUCUUUCUCUACAUUUCCUCUUUGUUAUUUUUUUGCUCCCUAGCUGACGACCUGAGUUUUGUCUUACGUUCUGGCUUUCUCUCACAAUCUCAUGAAAACUAAAAAUGUUGUCUAUUUUUUGUGUGUUUUUGGAUAACUGAAUGACAUCACUUGAGGCUGCAUUUAAUAGGCUGUACUUUACAGCUGUGAUUGAGAGUGUGUCAUCGUGUAGCCGUUACAUAGGCCCCAGCAAACAUCACAUACUGUUCUCUGCAGCUUUUGAACUUUGUAUAAACUCCACAUGGCUUUAACAUGGUUAGAAAAUUGGUCCUCAGCACGAUUUUGAGCACCACAGCCCAGUUGGUUUUCAUUCCAUCUUAUCAGGGACCGAGUUACACAUGGGUUGGAGUGGGAAGGUAAUAGACCCAACUACCUUGUAGGAUAUAAAAACCAGCAGGGCUACGGUUCUCUGUGGCGCUGGUUGGACAAUAACUCCCCUUGAAAACUGUCAGAUUUCUUCAAGAGAUGCAAACAGGGAGCUGCAGGGAGCAUUUGAAGUCAUACAUGUACUAUUAACGAGCUCAAACAAACACAAGUUUUGGGGUCCUUGUGGCACACUUUCUAUUGUCUUUGUAUUUUAUCUCAGUGUUGAUCAAAUUCACAUGCAAGACUUUGUGAUACAGCAGCUGUUAAGGAGGAAUUUACCACACAACAAUUUCACUCAGCAGUAAUUUUGUGCCCUGUGGUCAUAGAGGAACAAAAUUGUAGCUUAUAUACUGUGCUUCUGCUUUUUAAAGGGUUGUAUAGGGAAAUGUUGUAGCAUACCAACAUAUUGUUAGUUCAACCUUUUUCCCAAAAAUGCAAUGCAGGUAGAGAAAUUCAAACGAUUCAAACAUUAAGUAUGUCCCUGUUUAAAAAUAAUCUGGUAAAGAUCCUGAAUAAGUAAUACGCUUGCUAUUGUUAUACCUGCUAUCUUAAGAAACAAAAAAAAAAAAGAAUAAAAACAAUGUCAAUGUCUAAA